UACGGGGGGGGCAAGCGUUGUUCGGAAUUACUGGGCGUAAAGGGCUCGUAGGUGGCCAACUAAGUCGGACGUGAAGUCCCUCGGCUUAACCGGGGAACUGCGUCUGAUACUGGAUGGCUUGAGUUCGGGAGAGGGAUGCGGAAUUCCAGGUGUAGCGGUGAAAUGCGUAGAUAUCUGGAGGAACACCGGUGGCGAAGGCGGCAUCCUGGACCGACACUGACGCUGAGGAGCGAAAGCCAGGGGAGCAAACGGG
rnacentral:rRNA from 1 species